rnacentral:pre_miRNA from 1 species
UUGCCAGGGUCAGGUAGGCAGUGCGCUGUAAGCUGGCUGCUUGGCUCAAUUUAGCAGUCAGGACUGCCCUGCCACUUGCUCCUGGACUC